CUUGUCUUUGCUCCCUUCACAGACAUCCUUACUUUCUUCAAAUCCUGAUCCCUGUAUGGAAGUCGGAUGGAGGUUCAGCUCGCGUCCCGCCGUGGAAAUCGAUUCUAGAAUGCCACGGCUCGUGGUCGCGCGCACUGGAAGAAUCAGCCUUCAAGCCGCGCUGGUCCGCUGCGCCUCGGCUGGGAAAGGGAAGCUGGCAGGAGGAAAGAGACGAAGCUGCUGGCUGCGAGAAAGAGGAACAUUGGACUCUGAUGAUCUGCGACGUGAUCCAUGUUUGAGGAUGACUACUGCCUAGCAAGAUGGAAAUACUGCGUGGCUGAGGAAGUGUUACAUCUAAACAGAGACACAAGCAGAGGUCAUGGAGGGUAGAGCUAAAAGAAAAAUGGACCUGUCCAGGAUGUGUCCUGCUUCUCGCCCAUUGACCGCUGGAGACCAGUACACCUCGCACUCCCACUAGUCAUAAGCAUGUAAGACGGAUGGAUUGAUAUAUUGUGUAUAUCAACCUGA